GUGUGUGUGCACGAUGAAGAAGAAGUAGCAAAGAAGCAUUCGCAGCGGCUCACGCACUUUGAUGCUGCUAAUUAUUGUUUUAUCUGUCGAAUAAAUUGUGCCUUUAUUUUCCGAGUAUAAGAUCGAUAAUCGUUAUCGAGAUCAUUGAUGUUGUGUCCGAGCAAUUUCGCCGAUUCGCAAUCAUUAUCAGUGAUUUCAACGAGUGAUGCCAUAACGUUAAAUGAGUUCUGGGGAGAUCAGCGACAUUUUGUGAGGCAUGGGACUCGACUUUCCUAAUGCUUGUCACAUAAACUCUGGUAGUUUACCGCGCACGGAGCAAAAUGAGCGGGAGAAACUGUGGUGCCUCACUUAUGACUUUGCGACGACGGGGAACGCAAAAGGGCGGUAAGAAGAACAAGAAAACAAUGAUGACGAGAUGCAAAAAGUACGAGACGAGUGAUAAUACGGAUAUGCGACGAUUGAGAGAAAUGCAACGUCGUGUCUUACAAUUCCCGUCGCAAAAUAUUCCAACAUCCACCACAUAAUGACCGACAGAAACGUCAUUCGACGUGAAACGUUUCGCCAUGACUUCCCGCCAGAAACGCUUAACAUUUAUUUACAUUGGAGAAGGAAAGAGAAAAGGCGUACGAAGUAUCAACUUGCGUGCCGAAUUCCGAAUCGUUUAGUUAGCCUCGACUUCGAUACGAAGAACAAACAUCAACGACAAGGAAAAUCGACUCGCUUUUAACAACCCCUAAUUACGGGCUGAAAGCAAUCAGUAUGCCGAGAUAGUCGACGAAACCUUGCCGACGUUUUAAUUACCUCUUCCAUUUUCAUAUCUUGCGCGCGUGUCGUUUAGCGAGCCGUACAUAUUUAUACGUAA